GAUCCAGGAACACCACUUACAGUCCCCACUUCAGUCUUUCUAAGGGUCAGCCCCAGUUAACUGUUGGACAUUCAAGGCACUAUGACAAGUAUAUUCAGGAUGAUUCUGCUUCUCUUAUAAAAGGAAAAAACAUGGAUAAUUAUAUUCCAUAUAAAGUGGAGACUUGUGUGUGUGUGUGUGUGUGUGUG